UUGGCUACGCGAGCGCAUGAGUUGUGCUGGACCUAUGACUGCCGGGAGGACCCCCGCCGUUGUGCGGCCGACUACCGGCGCCUGUGUCCCUUCAAUCGUUGGCCAUUGCGCCCUACCCUUUGACGAGUGCUUGCGUGCUACUACCAGUCGCCUGGAAGUUGCAUUCGCUAAAUGUUGCCUUCGUCGUGCCCGUCCCUAGGGCGUGGCACGUCGACAAGAAAGCGUUCACGGCGUUGCCUCGUGUAGCCGGCCACAUAGACUGGCAUCAUCAAGGCCACCUCGUGUAUGCUCUUGGUCCCGGAUGUGGCUAACGAUAAAGGCCGAAAGCGCUUCGGCGCCACGUGCCUAGCAAAGAUUGUCCGAUCGGAAAUAACGACAGUCGGCCCGGCUGAUGCCCCGUGCGGAAGCUGGCGCCGGCUCGUCGGCGAGGACGUGCUACCUGGUUGAUCCUGCCAGUAGUCAUAUGCUUGUCU
rnacentral:misc_RNA from 1 species